GUGCACGCUGGCGGUAGGCCUAACACAUGCAAGUCGAACGGCAGCACAGUAAGAGCUUGCUCUUCCGGGUGGCGAGUGGCGGACGGGUGAGGAAUACAUCGGAAUCUACUUUUUCGUGGGGGAUAACGUAGGGAAACUUACGCUAAUACCGCAUACGACCUACGGGUGAAAGCAGGGGAUCUUCGGACCUUGCGCGAUUGAAUGAGCCGAUGUCGGAUUAGCUAGUUGGCGGGGUAAAGGCCCACCAAGGCGACGAUCCGUAGCUGGUCUGAGAGGAUGAUCAGCCACACUGGAACUGAGACACGGUCCAGACUCCUACGGGAGGCAGCAGUGGGGAAUAUUGGACAAUGGGCGCAAGCCUGAUCCAGCCAUACCGCGUGGGUGAAGAAGGCCUUCGGGUUGUAAAGCCCUUUUGUUGGGAAAGAAAAGCAGCAGGUUAAUACCCCGCUGUUCUGACGGUACCCAAAGAAUAAGCACCGGCUAACUUCGUG
rnacentral:rRNA from 1 species